rnacentral:tRNA from 1 species
GCCUCUGUAGCUAAAAUCCUAAGCACUG